rnacentral:rRNA from 1 species
CUACGGGCGGCUGCAGUGGGGAAUAUUGCACAAUAGGCGCAAGCCUGAUGCAGCCAUGCCGCGUGUGUGAAGAAGGCCUUCGGGUUGUAAAGCACUUUCAGCGGGGAGGAAGGCGGUGAGGUUAAUAACCUCAUCGAUUGACGUUACCCGCAGAAGAAGCACCGGCUAACUCCGUGCCAGCAGCCGCGGUAAUACGGAGGGUGCAAGCGUUAAUCGGAAUUACUGGGCGUAAAGCGCACGCAGGCGGUCUGUCAAGUCGGAUGUGAAAUCCCCGGGCUCAACCUGGGAACUGCAUUCGAAACUGGCAGGCUAGAGUCGUGUAGAGGGGGGUAGAAUUCCAGGUGUAGCGGUGAAAUGCGUAGAGAUCUGGAGGAAUACCGGUGGCGAAGGCGGCCCCCUGGACAAAGACUGACGCUCAGGUGCGAAAGCGUGGGGAGCAAACAGGAUUAGAUACCCGUGUAGUC